rfam:Streptomyces autolyticus strain CGMCC0516, complete genome.
CUUGAUGGACCCCAGCCACAGCGGACGUCCCUCGGGCCGCUCCUGCCCGUACGUGGCGAGCAGCGCCUGUGCCUC